UACGUAGGGGGCAAGCGUUGUCCGGAAUCAUUGGGCGUAAAGCGCGUGUAGGCGGUUCGAUAAGUCUGCUGUGAAAGUCCAGGGCUCAACCCUGGGAUGCCGGUGGAUACUGUCGGGCUAGAGUACGGAAGAGGAGAGUGGAAUUCCUGGUGUAGCGGUGAAAUGCGCAGAUAUCAGGAAGAACACCCGUGGCGAAGGCGGCUCUCUGGGGACGGUACUGACGCUGAGACGCGAAAGCGUGGGGAGCGAACAGG
rnacentral:rRNA from 1 species